GCCUGGUUAGUACUUAGAUGGGAGACCGCCUGGAAAUAACGGGUGCUGUAGGCUU
rnacentral:precursor_RNA from 1 species